AAAGGGCGGAAGGUUGUCCAUCUAACCUAUUCAAACUGUAGUUUCAUUUUUGAACCUUCAUUUAUGUUUUAAUCUUUUUCUUUUUAAUUUUUAUCUGCUUCUUUAUAUUCCUUUAGAAACUACAACACCAGAACUUUUAUGACCCAAUAUCUGACUGUAUUUUAUAUUUUUUCUCUUAAUCAAAUCUCAUCAAAAACGAUUAUGUCCGUUGGCACCAAUUUUCUCCCCAGUGCUUAUCAUCCUUUAUUGAUCGUUCUGAUAGUGGGGAGUGUUGUCACAUUCCAAAAAGUGCAGACCUUGUAGUCUAGUGUAAUCUGUUAGAGGCAGAAAUCUGUGAUUCGUGUCUUCGAAUAACGUGAAGAAUAAAGAAAUGGAAAAAGAGAAAAUAUAAGACGUUGAUAAACAACAAGUGAAUCCGCGUAUAUCCCGAGGAGUGAUGCGUUUGCAAGCGGACGUCUUCGACAUCAAACAUUGCCACGAUGAAAAAAUGAGACACGUAAGUGUGUUGCGCAGACAGCAGAACGUACUUAUAUUAUAUAGAAGCUAAUACGUUCGAACAAGUCCUUUCGUUAAAACAAAACCAGGAUGGUGAGACAGAGCGAUCUGAGAAAAAUUACAAAACGGAGGAGAGCGGUUCUUUGAAUUACGCGAUGGACCAGUCUAUCGUAAAGUGAAAAAUCAACAACUUUUACUUUAUAUUCCGCGCGCUAUGGCCAAAAAUCAAAUCUACGACGAGAUUAGACAUAUCGACAUCGAUGUAUGUAGAGUUCUUGAAAAUCUGUUACGUGUCUGUUGGUUUCUGACGUCCCGCUUAUCGUAUUCGCUUUGAAUAACACCGUGUGUCGAUUACUGGCAAUACUACGUCGCGUUUGUUUUUCGGUAUAGAGUAGAGACUAAAAAA